rnacentral:lncRNA from 1 species
CAUGGAACCUAGGAACCACGGAACCUAGGAACCGUGUGACCUAGUAACCAAGGAACCUAGAAAUCACAGAACCUAGGAAUCAUGGAACCUAGGAACCAAGGAGCCUAGGAAUCAAGGAACCAAGGAAUCUAGGAACCAAGGAAUCUAGGAACCUAGGAACCACUGAAACUAGGAAGCAAGGAAUCUAAGAACCACAGAACCUAGGAACCACGGAACCUAAGAACGAAGGAACCAUGGAACCACAGAACCUAGGAACCAUGGAACCUAGAAAACAUGGAACCUAGGAACCAUGGAACCUAGAAAACACGGAACCUAGGAACCAAGGAACCGUGGAACCACCGAACGUAGGAAUCACAGAACCAGGUAACAGCAGAGCUGGGGGGAGCAAGGAAGGCAACGAGGGGCUAUCUAAGAGGGAGAAGCUGCAGGAUUUGAGUUCUCUUAGCGAAACUGUGAACCCCUGGGGGCAGGCUUGGGAUUAACUAGGGAGAUUUGAGGAAAACAAUCAACUCGAUGAAGAGGAAGGAGGAAGAGAAGCUGAACACCUAGGAAAAAACAGAGAAACAAAAACCAGCCUCUUAGUACUUCCUGUUGACGUUGGUGGGGGCCAGCCCAGCUUCCCACAUGAUCGCAUCUUCUUGUAACUCUCUUAUUGUACAACUUGAGACACCGAGAUCCUCAGCUAGCCAGGUCACCCUAGCCAGGACCCCAUAUGAGGCCUCUGACCAACUAUGACAAUGACUUUGAUGGAUGUGCAGUGAAGCCUCAUUGAGAUCAACAGUUAUUCUUUCACUAUCCAAAUCCGCCCCAAAAAGAUGCUGUCGGGCUGAUCCUUGAUACCCUCAAGUUGUAUCAGCAGUGGUCCUGCUCGGCACAAGGCAUGCGGAGAAACUCAGCUCCACAUCCUUCAGAGACUGUUUAUGUGUUUGCUAUCGAGCCAUUUCCUAAACACAGUAAACCAACCUCCAGGCACAGUAGUGGACUGAUUUAGGAAAUAGUUACCAGGACAUUUUAGGACCUGGGGUAAGGGUUGCUGUGGCAUUUCCUGCCACAGCAAAGUCUAACUGGUUUGUUAUCAACUUGAAAAUCACUUUGUGCUGUUCACGCUUUGGCAUUCAGAGUUGCUGUCUGAUGCGUAAAAUUGAGGGAUAACCUUUGCUACCAAAAGGAGGAGUUGACAAUUCAAUUAGAAUACUAAUGGAGACCAACUUAGCAUGAAAACCUGUCUCACUUGGAGUCAUGGUGCAAGAGAUGGCAUGUCU